GACGAACGCUGGCGGCGUGCUUAACACAUGCAAGUCGAACGGAAAGGCCCUGCGUUUGUGGGGUGCUCGAGUGGCGAACGGGUGAGUAACACGUGAGUAACCUGCCCUUGACUUUCGGAUAACUUCAGGAAACUGGGGCUAAUACCGGAUAGGAGCUCCUGCUGCAUGGUGGGGGUUGGAAAGUUUCGGCGGUUGGGGCUGGACUCGCGGCUUAUCAGCUUGUUGGUGGGGUAGUGGCUUACCAAGGCUUUGACGGCUAGCCGGCCUGAGAGGGUGACCGGCCACAAGAGGACUGAGAUACGGCCCAGAAUGCAACGGGAGGCAGCAGUGGGGAAUAUUGCACAAUGGGCGGAAGCCAGAUACAGCGACGCCGCGUGCGGGAUGACGGCCUUCUGGUUAUGAACCGCUUUCGCCUGUGACGAAGCGUGAGUGACGGUAAUGGAUAAAGAAGCAACGGCUAACUACGUG
rnacentral:rRNA from 1 species